rnacentral:lncRNA from 1 species
GCAUCCUCACACACAGCUCCUAAACCGGGCUUAGGCAGGAGUUUAGACAGAGAUCAGCGGCAUUUAGUGCCUCCAAACCGCUACACAGCUGCCACUUCGCACCGAAGCCACUUUUGUUUCCCGGCGUUAAACAUCUCGGGGCCCCCAGAACUCGGCCUGAGCAGGAAUGGACGAGCACGUCCCCGCGAAAGCCUUGACCUGACCCGCAGGAGCGGCUGCAGGAAGCGCGGCUGCAGGAAGCACGGCUGAGAGCCCAGCCCGGCCCCUCAGUGCCGCCCGGCCCUGGGGCAGCCCCGGCGCUCUCUGCCUCAGCGCGGCUCCGCCGUCCACCCGCGCGGGGUCACGCGCGCUGUUCUCGCCAAUAGGCAGCGGCGGCUGGAGCGCGUGGGUCUCGCGGGAGCGCGGGGCGGUAUUUAAUGGCCGGCGAGGCGCCGCUCUGCCUUUCUGUUCGCCGGCCGAGGGCGCGUGUGUCCGAGGUGCCGCCGAUGGGCGGGAGGCCGAGCGCGGCAGGCCGGGGCAGGCGGGAGCGCUGGCGAUCCAUGGGUGAGGGGCACACCGACAUCAUCACCCCUCCUACAGCCUGGGGCUGGUAAGAAAUGCUUCGGGCUUCAGAAGUGGAGGGCUUUGAAUCUCCAGAUUUUUAAAAGACAAACAUACCUAUCAGGUGCUGCCCUGUGUCUCUGAGCCGAACUGUCUACGUUUGCGCUCUCCCAUUCUUUAACCCGGAGCUAUUGAGCUGCACAGGCCUUAAAUCUAGUUUUUUUAUAGGACACAUUAAGAAAACUGCAAUUAUAACCUGUGAUGUUUAGGCUGUAGGCACUUAGGACUUGGGCUCAAAUGGCCUUAAUAACCGUUCAAACAAAGAAAAAACCCUCUGUCUUGAGCUUUCCCUGCGGUCUUCUACUCCGCUUGUAAGUGUCCUUUGUCUCUUGCUUCAGUGCUGUAUAAUUUGUAACAAGGUCCAUAGCUAUUUGUGAGUAGACACAAGGUAUCAAUGAGUUGUCAGGGAAAGAUUCAGUCAAAUCUACAGGUUUACAGCUUACCUCGGUAGUGUCAGCACUAAAAGGAAUUCAGGCUUAAUAAACUUUCCAUUGUUUAUGAUUAAUGUUUUAUU